rnacentral:rRNA from 1 species
GACAGAGGGUGCAAGCGUUGUUCGGAAUUACUGGGCGUAAAGGGCGCGUAGGCGGCCUUCUAAGUCAGACGUGAAAUCCCCCGGCUUAACCUGGGAACUGCGUCUGAUACUGGGAGGCUUGAGUAUGGGAGAGGGAUGUAGAAUUCCAGGUGUAGCGGUGAAAUGCGUAGAUAUCUGGAGGAAUACCGGUGGCGAAGGCGGCAUCCUGGACCAUAACUGACGCUGAGGCGCGAAAGCUAGGGGAGCAAACGGG